rnacentral:lncRNA from 1 species
AUGGCGGGGCGCUCACAAGUGGACUCUGGCGGACGCCUGGAUGAGCACCCACCCUAAGUAUUUAGAAAUGAUGGAAUUAAAUAUUGGAGAUGCCACUCAAGUUUAUAUAGCAUUCUUGGUUUACCUGGACCUCAUGGAGAGUAAAAGUUGGUAUGAUGUAAUUUGUGUGGGAUUACCUGAACUUCAGCCCAUCUGCCUGAUUGAUACUGAGAUAGAAGGGGAAGGGUUACAGACUGUGUUGCCUACACCCAUCUCUGCUUCCCUCAGCUAUCAAAGGAUAAGGGACAUCUUGAAGGCAUCUCAAAAACUACGAGGGAAUCCGGAUUUACCGAUGUCUUUCACUCUGGCCAUCUUGGAGUUCGAUUCUACAAUAGUCUAUUAUAAACUCACUGAAGGGUUUAUGCUGCCAGACCCUCAGAAUAUUACCCUUAGAAGAUAACAUCUGUACUUCUCAACACUUUAUUCAUAAAAGAUUGGUUUUGAGAUCCAUU